rnacentral:lncRNA from 1 species
AAUGUACCAUGAUGUCAAAAAAAGAUGGAGGGAAAAACAUCUCUAGUUGACACAAGAUGAUAACAAUCUCGCCUUGAAGUUCAUCUAACUUUGUAGGAUCGAUGGCUUUACUACAUAUUGACGAGAAAAAUGAACACAACCUGUUUAUGGUGUGCCUAACAUUUUUCGACAAAAUUCCACGAAUAGCCACCGGUAACAACUGUUGCAUUAAGACGUGACNAUCGUGAGACUUCAUGCCAACAAGCUUUACGUCCUGCAUCGAUACUAAACUCUUGAUAUUUGAAGAGUAUCCUUGUGGUACUUUGAUACUCUUUAAACAAACACAAAAACUUAUCUUCUCUUGUCUAGACAUUGUGUAACAUGCAGGGGGCAAAUAAGUACGUUUACCAAC